AUGAAGAAUAAUUAGUGGCAGACGGGUGAGUAAUGCAUAGGAAUCUACCUAGUAGUAUGGGAUAGCCACUAGAAAUGGUGGGUAAUACUGUAUAAUCCCUGAGGGGGAAAGAUUUAUCGCUAUUAGAUGAGCCUAUGUUAGAUUAGCUAGUUGGUAGGGUAAAGGCCUACCAAGGCGAUGAUCUAUAGCUGGUCUGAGAGGAUGAUCAGCCACACUGGAACUGAGAUACGGUCCAGACUCCUACGGGAGGCAGCAGUGGGGAAUAUUGGACAAUGGGCGCAAGCCUGAUCCAGCUAUGCCGCGUGAGUGAGGAAGGCCUUAGGGUUGUAAAACUCUUUCAGUAGGGAAGAUAAUGACGGUACCUACAGAAGAAGUCCCGGCAAACUCCGUGCCAGCAGCCGCGGUAAUACGGAGGGGGCAAGCGUUGUUCGGAAUUAUUGGGCGUAAAGGGCAUGUAGGCGGUUCGGUAAGUUAAAGGUGAAAUGCCAGGGCUUAAC
rnacentral:rRNA from 2 species